rnacentral:rRNA from 1 species
AUGGCGGCCCCGCUGAUCUUUCAACACCGGCCGCCGUUCAGCUGCAGCAGCCGUCCUGCGGUGACACUCCCUACUGACUACAACGAACAAGGCAUAGUCGACAACCUUACAGAAAAUAAUCAGAGAAACAUGUGGGCUAGUAGAAGGAUAGAGGAGGACGAAAAAGUGUACCUAGUUCACGUCCAGGACACUGCUGGCAUCGGUCUCCCAACUACACUGGUCGUUAAGAAGUUUCAGAAUGUGCACCGCUGUAGGUCCGAGAUGCUCAAGCUAGCCACUGUCCGCCAUGAAAACAUCAUCAGUGUCCUACAUGUCAUCGAGAGGGAUGAAGCCAGCAUGCUCAUAUACAAGUACGAGGUGAAUGGCAGCCUUGACUACUGGCUGCAUCGGCGGGAGGGGGCCGGUCGUCCGCUAAGCUGGCCGGAGAGGAGGGACAUUGCCAUCGGUGUUGCCAAAGGGCUCCGGCACUUGCACCACGGAUGCAACAACCAGUUUGUCCACCACAACAUCAACCCUAACAACAUCUUGCUUGAUCAGGAGUUGAAUGCCAAGAUCGCAAGUUUUGGUGCUGCGCAGGUGAACUUGGCUGGGCACGGCCAACCAUUGCCGAUCCUGCAGUUUCCAAUUGGCAACUUUGGCUAUGCAGCUCCAGAAUAUGGCAUCGCACCAAGCCAACUGACGGAGAAGGUAGACGUUUACAGCUUCGGUGUGGUGCUGCUGGAGCUCGUCACAGGGCGAGUAGCCAAUGGAGCUGGACCUGGUGGUCAGUUGGCGAUUUGGGCACGGAACAGCUGCAACGAUCUGAUGGCAAACCAUCUGAAAAGGUUCAAGACAGAAGUGGACAUGGAAAUCCCAGAUCAAGCGCGAUACAUGAAGGAGAUGGCGACUGUGUUCAGGCUGGGAGUGGAUUGCACCGUUUGGGAUCCGCAGCAAAGGCCAUCCAUGCGGAUGGCUCUCAAACAACUCCGUCUCAGCCGUCGGUAUGGCCCAUUCCGUGGACUGCUCACCCGGUAUCUGCUUGGGAGGUCAAUGUUCUCGUUGCUUAGUUUUUCAGUUCUUACUUUGCACAGCAAAUAA